GACGAACGCUGGCGGCGUGCCUAAUACAUGCAAGUUGAGCGCUGAAGGUUGGUACUUGUACCAACUGGAUGAGCAGCGAACGGGUGAGUAACGCGUGGGGAAUCUGCCUUUGGGCGGGGGACAACAUUUGGAAACGAAUGCUAAUACCGCAUAAAAACUUUAAACACAAGUUUUAAGUUUGAAAGAUGCAAUUGCAUCACUCAAAGAUGAUCCCGCGUUGUAUUAGCUAGUUGGUGAGGUAAAGGCUCACCAAGGCGAUGAUACAUAGCCGACCUGAGAGGGUGAUCGGCCACAUUGGGACUGAGACACGGCCCAAACUCCUACGGGAGGCAGCAGUAGGGAAUCUUCGGCAAUGGACGAAAGUCUGACCGAGCAACGCCGCGUGAGUGAAGAAGGUUGUCGGAUCGUAAAACUCUGUUGGUAGAGAAGAACGUUGGUGAGAGUGGAAAGCUCAUCAAGUGACGGUAACUACCCAGAAAGGGACGGCUAACUACGUG
rnacentral:rRNA from 1 species